rnacentral:SRP_RNA from 1 species
CGGUGGUGGGGGACUGGGAAGCUGGUCGUUUCCUGUAACCCGAAAUCGACCUUUGCGGGGGUCCGCAACGCUGGUGAGCGGCAGCCUCGACCUUGUUGAGGACCUGGCUGUCAACUAUGACAUCCUGCCCCAUCGGGCCGGCGGAGGGAGAACGUCCUCUGAAGGGAGGAUUGUUACUUCCUAGUGGUCGAAACCGGCGAGGCCCGGAAGGGAGCAGUCGUAAGGCUAACGUUCGACGCUGUUGGGAUCACAGGGUGGAGACGAUGACUAAGACACCCUGCUUGGAAGAGAUGCCCAUCACCACGGAAGCCGCCACCG